CCGUGCUGAGCCUGCCUCCGCUGCCGCCGCCGCUGCUGCCGCCGCCGCCGCCGCGGCCCCUAAUUAGUAUUUGUAAGGCUCCCACAUCCUCUUGGCCGUUUCAUCGCUCCUUGUUUUGCAGGGGUUUUUCCUCUAUUCCUUCCCCAGAUGAGGCACACAAUCGUCAUUAUUUGGGAUUCUCUAUCUCCGACAUCCUUGGGGGACCCGGGGGACAGGAACAGCGUUGUUCCACGCCUGUGGCGUGUCCCGGCAGCCUGGCCGUUCUAAAAAACUCAGAGAAAGUCGCGUCUUCCCUCCCAGGCGCUGAGGAGGUGGCAGCGCGGUAAGCAUCGCAGGGGUCUCUGAGACAUCUGCUCCGGCGCGGGCGCAGGGCCCCGUCCAGUGCACUUGUUAUUGUCGCGCCACUGGUGCGAGCCAAGCUGCAGCAGACAUGAUGGGCCCGGGGCGAGGCGGGCGCUCCGUGGCCGAUAGAUGGCAGCCGAGGGCGAAGGCGUCCCUGGGCUCGGGCGGCGCAACCGGAGCCCCCCUUGGAUGUCACAUUCGUGGGAGACAGUGGAGUCUUGGACCAUGUGCGUAACAGGAGCGUGGGACUGUGCAAUCCUCGGACUGAAAAAGGGAGGAGUGGAAAUAACCCCGACAGUGUCAGGCUUGUUGGUGGUCAGGGACAGAUGAUUCCAGCUCUGCGCUCAUCGCCUGCCUUCCACCUCCCAUUUAGACUAACACAGCCCGUGCUGCUGUCUCUUGUACUUAAUGUAAAGGACCCUGGAAGAGGGAGUGGUUCAUCCUAGCUACAAACAAGGGCGCUUUUUUUUUUGUUAAGAAUUACGUUUUAUAAGUAUGUCCGGGCGAGACAAGGGAAUGCGAACGACUUUCAGAGAGAUUGUGAAUGUAUUUGGUGUGUACUAAAAAGCUGGAAAUCCCUAAAUAAAUGCAGUAUCGAUAGAAAGCAAGUUUCUUGAAGAGUCAUCUGCUAAACUCUACUAGCGUCAUCUCUACACUUUCAACAUCAUUUGCAUAAGACCUUCAUAUACUGAAUAGAUGAUCAUAAAAAAAGCCAGCUUGGUUUAUUGAAGAGCUUCAUUAUACAAGUGAGAAAUAGUUCUGGAUAUCACCACCUUCUCUUUGUGCCUCGUCUCCAUCCUUCAUGAUCAAUACUCAGCUAUUGGUAGACAUGAAGUUAAAGCACCUGAUCUCAGUGAUAGAAAAGGAGCUGAGGAGUUUGUGGAGACUUCUGCCUAAGAAGCCACUCAGAAAAGUCACUGCCAUGCAUGAUCAGUGCUGGAGAUCCCAGAUCACACCCUUGUCACGAGAGCUUCCCUGGAGUGCAGGCUCUCACCAGGAGCCCUGGUGCAGGGAGACCCCAGUCUCGGGAAGAACGUCAGUCUAUGUGGGUCUCUCUUGGCAUUGACGUCUUCUGCCUUGGGGAAGCGUGAAGAAGUGAAACUGUCCUUACACUAUUUAAUACGUCUAAUUCAGAUUUUAUGCUCCAGUGGUGAGCUAGAUCUUCUCCACCAGACUCCUGGGUCCCCACAAAGGUAUCCUUGUCCAUGGAGAUUGUCAAAACCAAUGUUCUGUGGCAGGUGGUGGAGGACGAGGGGGGAAUGAUGGCAGAAAACUCUUCUGUCACUCUGCUGAUGUUCCUCCAUGAAUCAGUCUUUGAUGUUUUAUCAUCCCUCAAUUGCAAUUGCACAUAAAAAAUUAAUAGUUCCAGUUAGAUUAUAUUAUGCACAGUUUUUUUUACUAUGGAUUAUAUUAUUUAUCAUCUAAAAUAUCCUGUCAAACGUGUUUUUUCUCCUCUAUUUUAUGUCUUAGUGGAAGUAUCCAUCCUGAACUCAGCUACCAACUAUAAUAAAUAAACUAGGAGUCGUUCUACAAUCUCCCCCUUUCUUCAGUAGUCCAUGCAAAUUUGAUGCCCUAAAUAGUUCUUAAACUCAGUCUCCAUUUUUCUUUCCUACACUGGCUGUCUCGGGUAAGCUCUCAUAGUUUCUUGCCUGGAUUGCAGAUUCAACAUCUCAAUUUUUCCUCCUUCUUCAUGUCUCAAUAACUUCAAACUUGUCUUACUGCCUGCAGCAGGCUGUUUCAACUGAACAUACUGAUUAAUCCCUAAGAUAAGCUUUUUAAUACCUAUUGAUUUUUCCCCUCUUCCUCUUCCUCCUUUCACCAUGCAUCUUCAUGAAUUGGUUACAGGUGUGCUUAGGUAAUUACAUCCUCCCCUCUCAGGGCCACAGCAAGGGGACCCCGACUUCUGCAUUGUCCCUGGCUAGGGGCAGCUGCAUGCUUACCUUGGUUCAACAGGUGAGCAUGCUCAUUUACUAUGGAUCACUGGGUGAAUAAAUGUGGAAAACACUAAACCAGAAAACUCAAAGUCCUUUCAGUGACAUACAGGACCUACCAUGCAAAGCUGUACUAUAUAAUGCUUUUGUGAACAUUUUUAAAAGCAUAUCCCUGAGCCCCAAAUUGAUGGUUUUAAAAAGUUACCUCAAGUAGACAGCAGGCCAACCUCACAGCAUCUUAGUGCUUAAAAGAAAAAUUGUUCCUCUGGGACAGAUGCAGCCCUGAGUCAGAUUGCAGGAAUUGGGCCAGUUUCCCAAACUGCGUAACAAUGCCUUCCUUUGAGGCAUUUUCAUGUUGUUUCACAAGUUAUGCUUUCACUCUUCCUGUCAUUACUGAUUUGAAUAACCCUCCCUAUUCUCUUUCCUUUAAUAACUUUUAAUUACCUGUAUACUUUCAACUCAAGUGUACCUGGAACCUGUAACUUUGCUUCCAACAAAUUUAUUGUGUACCACGAUUACAGCCACUAUCACACCGUUUUCUGUAUAUAUAGUGUUUGCCUUUUCCAAUGGACUAAAACUCCAUAAAGUCUGAUUACUUCUCAACCCAGAAAUUGACUCCUGGGUAUCUACUGGAGAGAAAUAAAAACAUAUCCACACAAAGACCUGCACACAAUGUUCUUAUUGACACUAUUCAUAACAGCCCAUGAGUGAAAAUAACCCGCUUGUCCAUCAGCUUGUAGAAUGGAUAGACAAAAUGUGUUAUAACCAUACAGCAGACUGCUAGUCCACUGUAAAAGGACCAACCAUGUAUACAUGCUAUGAUAUGGAUGAACAUUAUACACAGUGAAAGAAGUCAGAUAUAAGAAAUCAUAUUGUAUUAUUCCAUUUAUGUUAUGUGUCUAGAAAAGGCAAAUCUUUGAAGGUAGAAAGUAGAUUGGUGAUUGACUGGGAUGGAGGAGAGGGAAAUUAACAGUAAAUAUGCAUAAAGGAUUACUGGAGUAAUGGAAAAUCGAAACCUAAUUUAUUUCGAUGGUUGAAUAACUUGGUAAAUUUACUAAAGUAUCAUUGAAUUAUACACUUGAAAUGGAUCAAUUACACGAUAUGUAAAAUAUUCCUCAAUAAAGUUAUUUUUAAAAAC